rnacentral:rRNA from 1 species
GAUGAACGCUGGCGGCGUGCCUAACACAUGCAAGUCGAACGAAGCUUGACGGAUGAUUUCUUCGGAAUGAAACCAGAUAUGACUUAGUGGCGGACGGGUGAGUAACACGUGAGCAACCUGCCUUUCAGAGGGGGAUAACGGCUGGAAACGGUCGCUAAUACCGCAUGAUGUGUUCGGAUGGCAUCAUCUGAACAUCAAAGAUUUAUCGCUGAAAGAUGGGCUCGCGUCUGAUUAGAUAGUUGGUGGGGUAACGGCCUACCAAGUCUACGAUCAGUAGCCGGCUGGGGGGGAGGAGCGGCAACAGUGGGACGGAAAUCCGCCCCAGACACCUAGGGGAGGAGGCAGGGGGAAAUAGUGCAAAGGGGGGAAACCCCUGAUGCAGCACCCCCGCGUGAGGAAUGACGUUUUGGGGAGUGUAAAUUUUUUUUCUUAGUGCCGAAGACAGUGACGGUGGCUAAGGAAAAAGCGACGGCUAACUAGGUG